GGGGGUAUAGCUCAGUGGUAGAGACUUCGACGGCAGAUCGAAGGUCUCCGGUUCAAACCCGGGUGUUCUCU
rnacentral:tRNA from 1 species